rnacentral:RNase_P_RNA from 1 species
ACACGAAAGAUAAUCGCUGGUUGCUUAGACAACUAGAGGAAAGUCCAUGCUCGCACCAUCUGUGAUGAUGGUAGUGUUUGUGCUUAACGAAACGAUAAGUUAAGGCAUAGAGGCAUCUAUGACGGCUGACCGGACUCCUAAGGGAAACUAUGGACGAAGGCUUUAAAAGUGCCACAGUGACGAAGUUUUCAUGGAAACGUGAAAAGUGGAACGUUGGUAAACCCCAUAAGCGAGAAACCCAAAUUUGGUAGGGGAACUUAUACAAUCGAAUGAAGAAGAACGUAUAGGACGUGAUGAAAUUGCGUAGAGAAAUGAUUAUCAUUAACAGAACAUGGCUUAUUG